rnacentral:rRNA from 1 species
UACGUAGGGUGCGAGCGUUGUCCGGAAUUAUUGGGCGUAAAGAGCUUGUAGGCGGUUUGUCGCGUCUGCUGUGAAAAUCCGGGGCUCAACCCCGGACUUGCAGUGGGUACGGCAGACUAGAGUGCGGUAGGGGAGACUGGAAUUCCUGGUGUAGCGGUGAAAUGCGCAGAUAUCAGGAGGAACACCGGUGCGAAGGCGGGGUCUCUGGGGCCGUAACUGACGCUGAGGAGCGAAAGCGUGGGGAGCGAACAGG